UGGAGGCAUGAGAAGGUGGCGCAGUCUACUCUACUGCGUCUUACUGGUAAUAUCCUCCUACAGGAACAGCUGCAUUUGCAUUUAAUCUGCCUGUUCCUACUGGGAACUAGGCCUGCAAGCUGCAGCUACAUA